UACGUAGGUGGCUAGCGUUGCUCGGAAUCACUGGGCGUAAAGGGUGCGUAGGCGGGUCUUUAAGUCCGGGGGGAAAUCCUGGAGCUCAACUCCAGAACUGCCUUUGAUACUGAAGAUCUUGAGUUCGGGAGAGGUGAGUGGAACUGCGAGUGUAGAGGUGAAAUUCGUAGAUAUUCGCAAGAACACCAGUGGCGAAGGCGGCUCACUGGCUCGAUACUGACGCUGAGGUGCGAAAGCGUGGGGAGCAAACAGG
rnacentral:rRNA from 1 species